GUAAUACUGUAUAAUCCCUGAGGGGGAAAGAUUUUAUCGCUAUUAGAUGAGCCUACAUUAGAUUAGCUAGUUGGUAAGGUAAUGGCUUACCAAGGCUAUGAUCUAUAGCUGGUCUGAGAGGACGAUCAGCCACACUGGAACUGAGAUACGGUCCAGACUCCUACGGGAGGCAGCAGUGGGGAAUAUUGGACAAUGGGCGCAAGCCUGAUCCAGCUAUGCCGCGUGAGUGAAGAAGGCCUUCGGGUUGUAAAACUCUUUCAAUAGGGAAGAUAAUGACGGUAC
rnacentral:rRNA from 1 species